UUCUAACUAAUUGAAUUGGGAGAUUGUUCCACUUUGGUGGAGAGAAAAAGCAGGCAAACCGGCCACGUCUAGCUCUUUCAUGGAUCCCAUUUAUGAAGCUGUGAUUGGCUUAACCACAGAGCCAAGCACGUCCGGACUCAUUCAAUUGCCAUCAAAAUACUUCCUGAGCACCUACCACGUGCCAAGCUUCUCUCGGGGAUUUAGCAGUGGCGAAAGAGAAAAACACGUCUGCCUUCAUGGAGCUUUCGUUCUUGUGGGGGAGACAGGCGAUGCCAAAAUAAAGUAUACGAUUUGAGAAGCAGCCUGGGAGAUGUUUGGAAGCAAAAUGUGGAUGUUGGAAUCACUGGGGUUUUUGAUUUGUCACGAAGAAAAAAGGUUCCUAAAUGCUGAUUUUACCCAGCGCUCGGAGGGAGCACCGCCAAUACCUAGAGGCCGCUCCCAGAUGGCUGUGUCUCGGGGCCGUGUCUGCAGGGGGCGACCACUCUGGCCGCCUAGCUGGUGGCUCACAAAGCCAAGCACGCUGCAGAGCUGAGCAUGACACGUGCGCCGCAGCAGACCGGGAAGGACGGGAAGGAGGGAAUGGGUCCCAGUUUUGCCAUGACUUGCGCGUGCGUUGCCGGGCAAGUCGCUGUGUCCUUCUGAGCCUUGGUUUUCUCAACCUCCAGAGGAAACUUUGGGCUGGAAGCCGGGGUUGAUUCUCAACCUUGGCUGCAUGUUGGAGUCGCUCCGGGGACCUCAACAUUGCUCAUAACCUCGGCUCUCCACUAGAGAUUUUGAUUUAAUCGUUUCGGGUUGGGGGCGUCUGUUGUUUUUGACACAUCCUUGGGCAGUUCAAAUGCGCAUCCAGAAGCCUCCUACCUGCUCCGAGCGGCCGAGCCUCCCCACGAUGUUCCUCAUCCCGGAUAGAAAGAGGCUCUGACACAUUUGAAGUCAAAGCUCCGAAGGGCGGGAUCCCUGGGUGGCUCAGCAGUUUAGCACCUGCCUUUGGCCCAGGGUGUGACCCUGGAGUCCCGGGAUCGAGUCCCGUGUUGGGCCCAGCAUGGAGCCUGCUUCUCCCUCU